GUUUAACUAGUACUGUAUGUGAUACUUUGUGAGCUGUUGAAGUUAGCUGUCUAGUUAUGACAUUCUGGCUGUUUAGCCAGUAAAUCUCUUAGGGUUUUUUGUUUUUGUUAAUUAUUAUUUGUCUACUAGCCUGUUGUAUAUACUUACAUAUCUGAUCACUGUUAAUAAACCUGGAACUUUUUGCACUGGUUUUGAUCUCCUGCGUACUUCCCUACCACCCCCCUUGGCGACUCAACCGACUACAUCUUUACAUUUGGUGGCAGCGGUGGGGUCCAGGCCAGUAGGGGGCAGCAGGGCAAUAUGCCUCAACACAAGCCAGCACCAGUGCAAGACCUGGAGGAAGAUUAUGGCACUGAAGAGGACGUUAACCAAGAGGGCGCGGCAGGAGCACUGCCUCCAGCAGGCCAGAAAGGUGUGGCAGAACUCAGUGCCAUGCUACACCAAUUCAUACGGACUCAUUGGAGGAGUCUUGAGCACCACUUCAGCCAGCUUCAGCAGGAGGUCCAGAGCGAGAGCAGCAGAUGGGGGGUGCUGCUGCAUUCACAACUUCAAUAGCAAUACCGUCUCUAGUAGAAACAUUGAGGGCACCAGCUCUUCGUGGGACAGGCUCAGAGAGUGCUCCAGCCCAGUUUCAACCAGGGGCCUCGCCAUAAAUCCUCAUUCCUUGAUCUUGGCAACUGGAAGUAGAUGAUGUGGGUGGGCGUACAUGACCUCUCCAGUCCAACACAUCAUGGUUCCCAGCCUUCUCCACCCGUGACCUAGCCAAUGCCACCAACUGCUGAAGUACAAACCAACUGUCAGAAGUCAACUGAUAGAGAAAGUAUAGAUAGAUAGAAAAAAAAUAUCUGGUCUGUUUCUCCAUCUGUUAAAAAAAUAAAACAUUUUUAUGACUAA